rnacentral:rRNA from 1 species
AUAAAUUUAAGUAAUAUAUUAAUUGGUAUUGCAUAUCAUUAGCAAAAAAUUUUAUUGUAAUAAAAAAUAAAAAUAAAAGGUAGAGUUUAUUGUUUUUUUAUUGUUUCAUAAUAAAAAUUAAAUAAUUUAGGGUUGAAAAGUCGACUUUUAUUAUAUUUGUUUUAUUUUAAAUUAUUAGAAAAUUAUAUUAAUAAUAAAUUUAAAAGUAAAUUUAUAAUUUAAAGUGUUAAUUAUAUAAGUUUUAUAACUGUUUAUAAUUUAAUAAUUUUAAUUGAUUUUAAUUAAUUAUUAAUGUAAUAAUAAUUAUAAUAUUGUUAAAUUAGUAUUUAUAUUGUAAAAAAUAUAUUAUAAUAAUAUAAUAAAUAAACUAAAGAUUUAAUCAAAUGUUUUUUAAAGACUUAGACUUUAUUUUAAAGUUUGCUUCUGCCCAGUGAUUAAAUUAAAUGGCAGUCUUAGCGUGAGGACAUUAAGGUAGCAAAAUAAUUUGUGCUUUUAUUGAGUUCCAGUAUGAAUGAAGUUAUUGGUUAAUUUAUUUAUUUAUUUAUUUUUGAAUUUUUUUUAUAUAAAAAAAUAUAAAAACUUUUGUACAAAGAUAAGUCUUUGAAAAUUCUUUUUAUAUUUAAUUUAUUAUUUAAUUAAAUAUAAAAUUUUCUAGGGUAGAAUAUUAUUUAAUUUUUUUUCUAUUAAUAAUAUAAAGAAUUACUUCAGAGUUAACAGAAAAUCAUACUUAAUCUAGUUCUUAUAGUAAAGUAAGUUUUACAUCGAUGUUGUAUUUGAGUAAAUUAAAAAAGGAGAAAAUUUAAUUAUUAAGACUGUUCUUCUUUUAUUUAACUCAACGUGAUAUUAGUUUAAUUCAUUGUGAGAUAGAAUUGUUUAUCUUGACAAUUGUUUAUAUUGAAAGUUAUUAGUACGAAAGGAAAAUUGUAAAAGUUUUAAACUUUAAAAGAUUUAUUUUAUAG